rnacentral:rRNA from 1 species
CCUACGGGAGGCAGCAGUAGGGAAUCUUCCACAAUGGGCGAAAGCCUGAUGGAGCAACGCCGCGUGGGUGAAGAAGGUCUUAGGAUCGUAAAACCCUGUUGUUAGAGAAGAAAGUGCGUGAGAGUAACUGUUCACGUUUCGACGGUAUCUAACCAGAAAGCCACUGCUAACUACGUGCCAGCAGCCGCGUUAAUACGUAGGUAGCAAGCGUUAUCCGGAUUUAUUGGGCGUAAAGGGAACGCAGGCGGUCUUAUAAGUCUGAUGUGAAAGCCGUGGGCUUAACCGGCGUAGUGCAGUGGAAACUGGGGGACUUGAGUGGAGGAGAAGAGAGUGGAACGCGAUGUGUAGCGGUGAAAU